ACCAAGAGAAGAAGCAGAGGAAGACAAUAUCUUUAUGGCAGCAUCAUGUAGACUGUUCUGGGCCUGAGGACCCAGAAGAGCCUGGGAUCGAGGCUGUGGAAGGUGGAGGAGUCUGCUGAGCUUGAAGAUAAGCACAGACCACUGUCUUCUUUCCAAGUCACCAGGAGGUCUGGGUCUCGAGCCACCAGAUCCCCAGUGACCCAGGCUCCCAGAUCCUGUAUCCUACACCACCUGGGUCCUUGCGCCACAAUGGACCACCCAGCACGGAUGUUGGAAAGUUGGAGAUCGUGAGAGGCAUAAUCAUUAACCUGGACGGAAUGUUUGGAGGUUCCCGAGUUGAAACAACUCAGGUGGAACCACGAGAGCUGUCAGAGGAGAAGGGACUCAUUGGGAAGGGCUGAGCUGACCCUGGCACCAGGCAGACUCAGGAUGGGCGAGGGUGUCUGGCCACUGCUGGGGCAGAACUGCUAUAAACAAGCUGUGCCUGUCAUGUCUUCUCUUUAGCUUCUCCAGAUAACGACGCCUAAUGUUUCACCUUGACCGUCUGCAGCACAUUGACAAGAAGCCUGCUGAGGAGCUAGUAUUUAUUAUUUCAAUGAGUGAUGGCGUAAUAACAUUAUAGUUUUGUUCAUUGUCUCUGUAUGAAAAGUGAGGGGAAAUGAGGAUGGGAAGGCUUGUCACUUCCAGAUGACACAAGGACAGGCUGGAGUACAGGCUCAGCUUUUCUCCACGAUGCACCCAGGAGGCUCAGCCUAUGCUCCAGAAAAGACCUUACCAGAGAGGGGGUCAAGUUCGUCCCUUGUCCCACCCCCUACGCUUGACAGAGCUCAGUACAUAGUACCCAGCAAAUUGCAAUCGGUAUGAAAGCAGCACCUCGCCUGGCGCAUGAGGUCAAGUCCAAGGAUGCCAGAAGGGAAGAGCCAUUCAGAUCUUGUCUUCAGUGUCUCCAAAAUGCCAAAGGGAAACAGACAACACGGAGGAGCCAGGUUUCUUUAAUGGGCUUGCCCUUUCUCUGUCGUUCUUCGUCUCGCUCUACAACCAGCAAGGGCCUCCGCAGAUGCCUGCCUCCUCCAACUGAGCCCCUGGAAAGGCUUGCUCUGCAGCCUGGCCAGCGUGCCUCCUAUCUUCUCUUCUCCCUCGUGUUCUAGCAGAAACUGCAGGUUCUCUUCCCAACAGACACAGGCUUUCUUUCAAAACCCUGUUUUCUCUAUGCUCCAGGCUAUGAAUACACACAUGCACACACACACACACAAACACACACACAAACACGCACACACAGUAACCAAGUUGGAAAGAAGAAAACCAGAGUUUCAGCAAGAAUUUUCUCGUUUGCCCUGUGCGAAAGGGUGGGGGUCAGAUGCUGUCUCUGGCCUGAAGACAUUCUGUAUUUCGGCUCAGGUCCACAGCUACCUCUGGGCUCUCUGCCCUGGGGAACACCGGCAGGGCUCUCAGCCAGAAGGAGCUGCUUUAGGGAGCUAGAGGGGCCCAUUACUGUAUUUGCUUUGUUCUGUUUUUUGUCUUGCAGAAAGGUUUGGUUUUCAUUUAUGGUUUUGUUCAUGUGAAAGAUAUCCUAAUUUUGGAGUUCCCCUCAUGGCUCAGCAGUAAUAAACCUGACUAGUAUCCAUGAGGACGUGGGUUCUAUCCCUGGCCUCACUCAGUGGGUUAAGGAUCCAGCAUUGCCAUGAGCUGUGGUGUAGGUUGCAGAGGUGGCUCAGAUCUGGUGUUGCUAUGGCUGUGGUGUAGGCCCGCAGCUGCAGCUUUGAUUCAACCCUUAGCUUGGGAACUUCCCUAUGCCUCUGGUGCAGCCCUAAAAAUUAAAAAAAAAAAAAAAAA
rnacentral:lncRNA from 1 species